AGAGUUUGAUCCUGGCUCAGGACAAACGCUGGCGGCGUGCCUAACACAUGCAAGUCGGACGGGGCACGGUCCUUCGGGAGCGUGCCGAGUGGCGGACGGGUGAGUAACACGUGGGCGACCUGCCGCUUGGUGGGGGAUACCCCGCGGAAACGCGGGUUAAGACCGCAUACGCUGGUCUGGAUGAAGCCGGACCAGGAAAA
rnacentral:rRNA from 1 species